rnacentral:tRNA from 1 species
GGGAAUGUAGCUCAGUGGUAGAGCACUUGCCUAAGUGUGCAAGAGGCCCCUGAGUUUGAUCCUUAGCACUGCAA